rnacentral:lncRNA from 1 species
CGAUAAAUUGAAAGUUUAAAUUAUACACAUCUCAAAGAAAAUCAUUAUUAUUUUCAGAUUUUAUUACAAUAAGUCAUGUAGAUGUAUUCAACGUGAACCAUGUAAUAACCAUUUCUUGAAAAAUAUAAGUUGUUUAAUUAUUGCUCAGUGGCAACUAUUUCACGCAUAGCAAGAUAAUGCCAAGUUUGAUAAAAGGCGAGAUAUUUGAAUUGCAGCUUGCAAAAUGCGUUAUUAGGGAAAGAGGGGCCACAGACUGACUUCGCACAAGCUAAAAAUUAAGGCGUUCAGAUGGUGUAACUCACUCCUUACAAUAGACACAAGAUUUCUGACCAGGCGUUACUGCGUAUUUAUACAUCAAACACAUAAAUAAAAACGUUUGACAAUAUUUUGAAUGACGCUAGGGAGAAGUCCAUAACUUCAGUUGAUUAUAUUUCUAAAACUCUUUACUACCUAUUGAACAAAUAACAAAAAAUACCAAACUCCACGGAAAAUUUAAAUCGGAAAGUCCCUUAUCAAACGCCAAAAUCAAAAACUCAAACACAUCAACAGAAUGGAAACAACUGUCAUAUUUCUAACUUGGUACAGACAUUUCUUUUUUUAGUAAAUGGUGGAUUAUACCUGGUUUUAUAGCUUGCCAAACCGCUCACGUGUAUGACGGUCGGGAAAAAACUUCAUUUUAUGACAACAAUGUGUGAACAAUUCAAUUAGAAAUAAUAUGUAAAAAUGUAAAAAAAAAUAUGGAUACAGCAGUCAACAUUGUGUUAUAUUAGUAAAUAAAUCUUAAAAAUGUAUAACAAAUAGAUUUAUAUAUCUAGUCAACAAAAACAAUUAACAAAGUGGUGAUAAGCCAAUUAUUUACGUUUUUUAACAGCUAUAGGUAUUAAACAAGUUGAUAAUAGUGGGAGGGGCUAAAAUAGGAAAAACAGGAGUCAAUGGAAAAUAAAUAAAGACAAGAGAAAAGGGUUUUAAGGAUCAGAGAAAAAAUAAAUGAAGGACCCACUAUAAGACGUACCCUCAUUAACUUGUCUCUAACUUUUACGAUCCGCGUACAUGUAUAGUGCAUAAAAUUAUUCCAGUUAUGUGUUUGUGAAAACAACUUUAUAUGAUUUUGUAAUGUUUGUUUAUCAGAUGGGGGUAGGUCCUAUUAUUGGGUAUACGGGGAUGUGCCGAAAAUUGAUUAUAGAAUUGAGAGAUUUGAUCAAACUUAUCUUCAUUUUUUAAUGACAUUCUAUUUUA